rnacentral:tRNA from 1 species
GGCGACGUACCCAAGUGGUUAAGGGGGAGGUCUGCAAAACCUCUAUGCGUGGGUCCGAAUCCCACCGUCGCCUCCA